UAUUUCAACCAAUAUGGUCAUUAAUCAUUCGGCCAAAAGAAAAUUAAGUUGGUUGUUACAUUGGAACCCUAUUAAAUGAUAAGUAAUUACUACAAUGAGCUGUUAAUUGGAAAGAAUAUUUAUCACAAUCUAUGAAUCUUCACCUCCUAGCUUUAACAGUUUAACGUUAGCUGAAGAACUUUUGGUUUCACCUCCUAGCUUUAACAGUUUAACGUUAGCUGAAGAACUUUUGGUUUCAUUUCUGAUCAAUGAUCACUUUUAUAAAUGGAAAUGUAUAACCCUCACCAUUAAAGAAACAAUAGAUCUGGAAAGCUGCAUAUUUACUAGAAGUAUCAGCUUUCGUAAUCAAGCAAAUUGACUAGCUGAUUCAGACAAUAUCUAAUCAUAUGUCGUUCAACAAAUACGUCAUUCGAAUAAGGUGAUUGCUC